rnacentral:rRNA from 1 species
UAACGCAUGCAAGUCGAGCGAUGAGGCUCCCUUCGGGGAGUACAUCAGCGGCAGACGGGUGAGUAACACGUAGGUAACCUGCCCUCAAGACGGGGAUAACGCCUGGAAACGGGCGCUAAUACCGGAUGACCUUAGUUGGGGAAGAUCCGAUUAAGGAAAGGCUAUGGCGCUUGAGGAGGGGCCUGCGGCCCAUCAGUUAGUUGGUAGGGUAACGGCCUACCAAGGCGAAGACGGGUAGGGGGUGUGAGAGCACGGCCCCCCACACUGGGACUGAGACACGGCCCAGACUCCUACGGGAGGCAGCAGCGGGGAAUAUUGCGCAAUGGACGGAAGUCAGACGCAGCGACGCCGCGUGGGUGAAGAAGGCCUUCGGGUUGUAAAGCCCUUUUCUGAGGGAAGAGAAAGGACGGUACCUUAGGAAUAAGCGUCGACUAACUACGUGCCAGCAGCCGCGGUAAGACGUAGGACGCGAGCGUUAUCCGGAUUUACUGGGCGUAAAGCGUGUGUAGGCGGCGUGACAAGUUGGGCGUGAAAGCCCCGUGCUCAACGCGGGGAGGCCGCACAAUACUGUCAGGCUAGAGGGCACCAGAGGGGUGUGGAAUUCCCGGAGUAGCGGUAAAAUGCGCAGAUAUCGGGAGGAACACCGGUGGCGAAAGCGGCACCCUGGGGUGCGCCUGACGCUGAGAGACGACAGCUAGGGGAGCGAACAGGAUUAGAGACCCUGGUAGUCCUAGCCGUAAACGAUGGAUGCUAGGUGUAGGAGUGAAGAGCUUCUGUGCCGCAGCGAACGCGAUAAGCAACCCGCCUGGGGAGUACGGCCGCAAGGUUAAAACUCAAACGAAUUGACGGGGACCCGCACAAGCAGCGGAGCGUGUGGUUUAAUUCGAUGCUACACGAAGAACCUUACCUGGGAUUGACAUAUGGGUGGUAGUGAUCCGAAAGGAGAGCGACCCUUCGGGGAGCCUAUACAGGUGCUGCAUGGCUGUCGUCAGCUCGUGCCGUGAGGUGUCGGGUUAAGUCCCGUAACGAGCGCAACCCUUGUCCUUAGUUACAAGUGUCUAAGGGGACUGCCGGCGGGAAGCCGGAGGAAGGUGGGGAUGACGUCAAGUCAGCAU